AAGUCGUAACAAGGUUUCCGUAGGUGAACCUGCGGAAGGAUCAUUACACUGUAAAAUUAUUUACAACUUAUUGGUUGAUUUCAGCUUAAUUUACCGGUUAGGUAUGUGCUACCUGAUGUGUUGAUCAAAAAUUCUUAUUCUAAGAAUUCUGCCAUUUCUUUUGACAUGGCUGGCUGUAAUUAACUUUAAAAACAGUACAAUUUAUUUUUUACCAUAAUUUUCUUAAUACCGAUUACACAAAAUUACACCUUUAAGCGGUGGAUACCUCGGCUAUCAUAACGAUGAAGAACGCAGC
rnacentral:misc_RNA from 1 species